CUGAAACUAAAAAUUUUGUAAAAUAACGUUCAAUUUUGUACGAUUCUCGGGAACUUUAUACAUCAUCUUUUUCAAGUUUGACGCGUACGGUGAAUACAGACAUAUGUGUGUAUACACACAUUACACGGGCUGCCGAAACCGCGUAUCAAUUCAAGUGCGUCAAGAUCCGGACGGUUCAACGUAAACGGAUAAUUUGUUUGAGUGAAUGUUGCGGUGAUCGGAAACGACGAUUGAGCCAUCGUCAAAAAUUGUCGGUAAUCGACUCAACGAUAUACCGCAUAUAAAUUUUAUUACCGGUCUUAACACAACG
rnacentral:misc_RNA from 1 species